CUCGCUUUUGGAGCUCCGACCUCAGCUUCGCCUGCGAGCUGGGUUGUGUAAAGGCUGGUCAUUUUGGGGCGCUUAGGGGUGGGUGCCGGGGGGCGCGCUUUCCCUCGUGAAGGUCGCUCCAGGAGUCAUGCGUACAUUCGUUCAUUUUGCUCUGGACGCACUGAUGUUCCCGGCUCGCCGCCGUGCCGCAGUCACGAGGCUCUCCGAACGCCUUUCACUGUGUUUCUGUUUACAUUCGCGUCUGCAAGACCCGGCGGCGCGACCGAGGCCCGAACAGAUGGGGUCUUGCUGUGUUGCCCAGGCUGGGCUUGAACUCCUGGACUCAGACGAUCCUCCCGCCUCGGCCUCCCAAAGUGCUGGAAUUACAGAUGGAGAUGGGCUGCCAUGUUGUGAGCUGCCCCAUGGGGAAGAGGCUCACAUGUGAGGAACUGAGGGAGGCCUCCAGAAAACAGCCAGUGAAGAACUGAGACCCUCAGUCCAAUAGCCUAUGAGGAACUGAAUCCUGCUGACAACCAUAUGAAUGAGCUUGGAAGCAGAUCCUUCCCCAGUGAAGCCUUCAUGUGAGACUGCAGCCCACUUGACACUUUGAUUUGUAGCUUGUGACAGACCCCAAGCCAGAAGAGUCAGCAGCCCCAGAGAUGUGGUCUGGAUCACACCUUCUUCCCUACCUCCUCCUCUGCUGAGCCCAAGCCCAAGUCACUCACAUCAGCAUGGUUCAUCCUCCCUCCCCUCACAGAAAUCACUCCUUAGAAUCUUCCAGGCCAGGGACAAUCAUUCCCAAAGGAUCACUGCUCCAUCGACUUAUUACUCCUAUGCAGUCAGCAACUCCAUAGACCCUCGUGUCCCUUGGGCCUGCGCUGAGGGCCUCAGCUGUGGACCCCUG
rnacentral:lncRNA from 1 species